rnacentral:rRNA from 1 species
CAAUAGCGUAUAUUUAAGUUGUUGCAGUUAAAAAGCUCGUAGUUGGAUUUCGGGUGGGACGCAGCGGUCUCGCAUUGCGUUUGUACUGCUGCAGCCCUCCUUCUUGCCGGGGGCGGCCUCUCGGACUUCACUGUCUGGGGGUCAGAAUCGGCGAUGUUACUUUGAGUAAAUUAGAGUGUUCAAAGCAAGCUUACGCUCUGAAUAUAAUAGCAUGGGAUAACACGACAGGACUCUGGCCUAUCGUGUUGGUCUAUAGGACCAGAGUAAUGAUUAAGAGGGACAGUCGGGGGCAUUCGUAUUCCGUUGUCAGAGGUGAAAUUCUUGGAUUUACGGAAGACGAACAUCUGCGAACGCAUUUGCCAAGGAUGUUUUCAUUGA